UGGAGGCUGCUGGCUGUGCUGUGAGGAGAUAAGGGACAUGUGGUUGUGCAAGGCAGGAAGGAAAUGGUUGUCAGAUUGGUGCUGCAUUUUGAUCUAAGCAAACACUAGAUUCCGUUUGAAUUUAUGCCUUCACAGAUGAUACGGGAAUGGGACCAUUUAUCUGGGAUUUUGGAGUUCUGUCUACCUCUGUUGGGACAGGAACUCCAGCUGUCUGCCUGCUGCUCAGAAAGCCCAGAUGGACACCAGUACACAAGCACAGCUCCUGUUCAGUGGCUCUGAGCGAGCAAGAGUACUCUCUGCACACACUGACCAUCUGCUCUCAUUCUGUGAGCAG